AUACUCUUGUUUCUCUUCAGAUUGCAUAAAUUUUUCACCUUUUGUCAAGCUUUC
rnacentral:snRNA from 1 species